GCUGCAUCUUCUUCCGGCGUUGCAUUGUAGAGCGCAGGCGGAUCUGCGUCUCGAGGAGAGAGGGGCUUGUGCCGCGCAAGGCUGUCAUGGCGACUAACAUCGAGCAAAUUUUUCGGUCUUUCGUCGUUACCAAGUUCCGGGAGAUCCAGGAGCAGCAAUUCGGCAGUGGAAAGAUAGGAAAUCAGCACAAUGGUGAAAUAAACACAUCUGGACAAGUAAACUCUUCAGAUGAUACAGUUCAAUCUAUAGAAAGUCUUCAAAAUGAAUCACUAGUGCAGAAGAUAGAACAAGUAUUAUCAGAAGUGUUGGGUACUGAGCCACGGUACAAAUCAGGGGAUGGAGAGGAUAUCGAAAGAAACAAUUCCCGUUCUACUAAAAGAGGCUUAUCUGAAGAAGUGCAAGAUGAAAUUCCAAGGAAAAAGUCUAAGAAGGACAAGAAGCACAAAGAUAAAAAGAAAAAGAAAAAAAGAAAGAAGGAAAAAAAAGAGAAGAAAUAUAAAAAGCAUGCCAAAGAAAUAGAUGUUCAGCAGAAAGAAUGUGGAGAUAUGCAACUUAUUUCUCAUUCAAACCUAGAAAAUUCAGGUUCUCUCUUAAAUGCAGAAAAUGAUAUGGAUAAACAGUCUGGGUCUACCUUGAAAGAAGUUUCUACUUGGAUUAAUGAAAAAACUGCAUAUGAAAAUCUAAACUCAGCUGUGUUGAAUAAUGUGUUUAGUUCAGAUACCAGCAAACUGGAUACAUCUGAAGAAGAUUCUACUUUGAUAAAUAUUCAGGAGGUCAUUGAAGUCAAGCUUACAAAUGAUAAAGAAUUGGAAAAUGACACUUGCCAAUCUAAUGUAACUGUAAAUAUAUGCACAGAGGGUGAAUUUUUAAGUGGUGCUGUUUGUACAGUUGUAGAAGGAGUGUCGGAUAUAAAAGAAAUGGAGCAAACCAAGUUAAUGUUGGAGGCAACAGAUCAAGAAAGUGUUCCUGAAACCAGUCCACAUUGUGUAAUACGGGAGCCAGAACAUUUGGAAACUAGAGUGGAGUCUGCUGCAGUGGAAGUAACAAGUAUAAAUUCAGUCACAGAAUCUGUGACUUCAAAAAGCUUGAAACAAACAAUACCAACAUCCUUUGAAACAACCGGCUAUAAAUUAAUGACCCUACCUUUGGAAUCAAAUGUAGAAGCUAAAGAUUCAGUGACAACUUUAGGAUUUUUAGCUAUGGUGGUAGGAAAAGAUUUUGAAGCAACUUCAGAAUUUUUAAAUACUGCAAAAGUGAAAGCUUCUGAAAGAAGUCCUAAGCAUACCAGUAGAAAAAGUGAUCCAGUGCAUGAUUCUGAGAAAACUCUCACAAUGAAAGAUUUGCACAAACCACUAACGUUUGGAACAGAACGGAAAGAUUUGGAAACUGCUCCAGAAGCUGUCCAUGCAAUCCCUGAAAAAGAUUUUGAACCAGCUGUGGUAGCUCAACUGAAACCUCAGCAAAAAGUUUCAGAAUUUGAUGUACAAAAAUAUAGUAGAGCAAGCCUCGGUACAGAGAUUCUGACAGAGAUGAAAGAAUUUAGAGAACCUGAAGUCUCUACCCUCAUGAUGGAACUGAGUGAGUCAGAGAAAACUGCAAGAUAUCUGCCAGUCCAAAGAGAUGCAAAAGAUUUGAAAAGAACACCACUAUUAGAAAAUAUGACUAGAAUAGAUUCAGAAGAACAUCUUUCAGUUGAAUUAUUGGAAAGAAAGAAUUUGGAUGUUGCUUCUGAUUUUAUGGAAAUUGACACAAAAUGUUUAAGAGCAAAAUCUGAUGGUGUAACAGAAUCAGAAAAUUGGAAUACUGUUCCAGAAUCUCUUAAAGCAAAGGAGGUAAAGAAUCUAGAAUACCCCCAGGAAUUUGAGAAGGCUGAACAGAUUAAUUAUUUGGAAACAUCAUUAGAAACUGCAAUAGAAAAUAGAGGAAACUCUGAAAUCGCUCAACGUUCUCUGGCACUGUUUAAUGUGAAAGUUCCUGAAAACACUUCACAGUUAAGAGGGGUGACUGUUUCAGAAACAAUUAUGGAAACAGAGAUUGUGAAAACACAAAACCUGGAGGGUUCAAAAUAUGUAGAUCUAAGAAAUAAAGAAAAUGAGAAUGUGGAGAAGUGGAAAAAUAUUCCAGAAUCUUUAAUGACAGUAAACAAUUUAGAAAAUACCUCUUCAGAGUUGCAGUGCAUAGAAGAAAUUAAAAUAGUGAAGGAAACUUCACAGUCUGAUACAGAGGCACAGAAAAAAGAUUUCAAAAGUGGUCUUGAGCCUGAAGGGGAGAGAGAAAAGAGAGAUGUGGAUGCUGGUUCAGAAUCUCUGCAGAUGAUAUUUGCAAACUAUUCAGAACAUAGUCUAGAACUUUAUACAGAAACUGAAGGUAUGAUGGAGUUGAAAAAUUCAGAAGCAGUUCUGAAAUCAUUGCAUAAACAAGAUGCUGACAAUUUUGAAUCACUGUGUACUAAGGAAAUGAAAUAUAUUAAAAAUACAGAAUCUGAAGCAGUGACUGGAGCAAAUGAUUUACAAGAAAACUUAAAACCAUUGCAUAAACAUGUAAAAAAUGUGGAAACUGCAUCAGAAUCAAUUGCAUUACCAAUUAUGACAUACAUGGAAACAGUUCAAGGUAUUUCCAAUAGGAAAAGAAAUGAAACUGAAUCUCAUUUUGUGCAAGAAGUAGAACAGAAGUGUUCUGAUUCCACUGACUUUGUAAAGAAGAAUCAAACUGGUGCAGAGACAACAGAUUUGGGACUUACAUCAAGAUAUAAGGAAGUAAUUAAAACAGACUCCAGAAGAAUAAGAGAAAGUGAGUUAAGCAAGAGUCAAGGUCCAUUAUUCAUUUCAAAAUCAUUGCAUGAAAAGGAUGUAAUAAGUUCAGAAAACAAUCAGUCUAAAGGAAUAGCAGUAGUACAAGACUUAAAAGAAUUUGGAAAAUCUCUUGCAGCUGCAAUUGAUCCUAAAGAAUUUUUUAAAUUGAAGAAUGUAGUAUCAGUUGAAUCAGAUUUUCCAUUUGGCAGUACCGUGAAACAAUUUGAAUCAGUUUCAGAAUCUCUUGAAGAACAAAAUCUAGAACUACUGGAACACACAAAGACACAACUUAGAAAAGUGUGUUUAGAUUCUGUGCCUGAUUUGGAAAUUAAACAUGCAAGAACAAGUUCAGAGAUUCUGUAUUCAGAUGAAUUUCAUAUUCAGGAGGAGAAACAGAAAUUGGAAGAAAAAAUAGAAACAACAGGAUUAAUGGAAGCAUCAGAACCUGUACACUUGUCGGAGAGAGAUCUGAUUGUUCCUACUUCUGAUUCUGCAACUAUAGAUUCAGAAUAUGGUCCAGAAUCUAUGUACUUGGCAGAAACAAAUUCAGAGAACAUCCUAAAAUCUUACAAAAUUCAAGUGAAAGAUUCAAAAACAACUUCAGAGUCUAUGAUCUUAAAUGUAAAAGACUUGAAAAUUGAUUCAGAACCUUUGCUUCAAGCAGGUGUAGAAAUUAGAGAAUAUCUUCUGGGACAUAAAUCAGUGCUAACAUCAGAUAGUGUGCAAUUAACACCAGAAACUCCCAGAAAAAAUGAAAUGCUUCCAGAAUCACAGGGUAUUUCAGGGUUGCCAAAAUCAGGUACAAUGCUCAGAAGUGAAGGAUUGACACAUGCACAUUUGAAAAUACCUCCAGCAUGUAUACGUGUGAUGGAUACUGAAGUUGUAGAAAUAACUCCUAAGUCCAAAGAAUUGGAAGUAAUAGAAAAACAAGAAGGUGUUCUAACAUCUCUGUUUCCCUCAGUAGAGUCUACAGAUGUAUUGGAAGAAAGUUUUGAACGUAUGUACACAACAGAUGUGAACAAGGUAGAAGCAAGUCAGAAGUCAAUAAAUGUAGAAUCUAUAGGUAAAGAAAAGAUGAAUGAUGAGCACAUCCAGCCAGUUAAUGAAAAUGAUGCAAAUAUUUCAGAAACAUUUAUGUCUUCAAAACAUACUGUAAGGGCACAAAUUAUAGAAGAUAUACUAUCAGCUGCCAACAAAGAAAAUGUUUCUGUAAUAACUCCAGAAUCAAGUGGAGAAUUAGUAUUAAAAUAUUCUGAAGUUUCUGAAACUAUCACAGGUCUAGAAAGAGAGAAUUGUGAUACAACUCUGCCUGAAUUUAUGGUGGAUGUCCAAGAUUUGGAAGAAAGCUCUAGUAUUUUAGAUGCAGGAGAGAUGAAGAAUUUAAAAGCUAUUCAAAUAGAAAAUUAUGCCAAAUCUCUUCGUGCAUUAGAAUCUGGGGAUGCAGCUGAUCUUUCACAGUCUGGGUCUAAAGUUGAACCAAAAAGUUUAAGAAAAACAAUGAGCUAUGAAAGACUAUUAGAAAUAAAAGAUCCAGUGGCUACUGCAGCGCAGCUAAAGACACCAGCAUCGACAUCUUCAGAAUCAGUUUCUAUAUUGGAAGUAACUGACACUUCAAAAAUCUCAGAACUCAAAACUUCUCAAACAUAUUUAGGAGUAAGUGAUGUCAAAUCUUCUGGUACAACUGCAGAGAAAUAUCUACUAGAAAUCAUUGACUCUGACUCACAAAUGCAAGCAGAGAAUAUUUUAGAAGUAAAACAUACUGAAUCUUCUUCAGAAAUUAAAUAUGGGCUACGAACACAUCCAUUCAAAACUGCUUCAGAAUCUGAAAAAGUGACACAAGACAAAGCUUCAAAAACUAUUUCAGACAUAUUAUGUUCAGGCAGUGUGGAAAACCUGGAACAAAUUUUGGAAUCUAAACAUAACCAGGAAGGAAAAGAUUUAGACUCUCACCUGAUGGCAAAAGAUUUAAAAGGAGGUCUUACAUAUGAAGAAAUAAUAGGUAUUUCAGAGACGACUACUCAAUUUUCAAGUGUUGUGGAAGCAACAGAUACGGGGUCAAAUAUAUCAUCUAUAGUUCCAGAAACAGUUGAAAAAUGUCCUGAAACAUUUCUGGAAAAUAUAAAUGUGUCAGAUACACAAGGUACAAAUACAAAUGUAGAACUAGAUAAUUUACUAAAACAGAAGUCAACUGAAGUUACUACAGAUGUCAAAAAUUUAAAACCAAAUUCAGAAUCUAAUAAUGCUGUAGAAUCUGUACACAUGAAAGAUCUGGAAGAUUUUGAAGCAGUUCCUGUGUGCAAGUCUGUUGUUGAAAUAAAAAACCUCCAAGUUGUACAAACAUCAGGAGACAAAGAGCAAAUGGAUUUUCAAGAACUCUCAAAAUCAGUGUUACCUUUAGACACUCAGGAUUUGGAAAGAAACUCAAGUUUUCAGCUUUUGCCACAACAAAAGAACGUAGAAUCAUCCCUAGAACCUGUUAAAGAUUUUGUAUCAGUUUCUGAAUGUUUAAGUGCAAAGGACAUAGAACAACAUUUAAAAUGUGUAUCUGUGGCUCAGGAAUCAACUGUAGAACAUGUGAUACUAAGGCAAGAUAAGAGUGCAGAAAUAAUUCCACAGUUUACUUUGGAAGUGAAAGAUUCAGAAGCAACGUUAGAAUCUUUAUGUGUGGCAAAGAGAAAAGACGUGGGUGAAACUGCGCAGACUUCUUCAAAGGAGCAAGCAACUGUAAAACCUCCAUGUAUGACAGUAGAAGACAAUGUAAAUCAACUGGAAAUAAUUGUAUUGGGAGGUUCAGAAGAAGCUGUAAAGCCUGUGCAUUUGGCAGAGAAUAAAGACAUCAAAGUGGGAGAAUACAUUGAGGCAAAAGAUUCAGUAACAGGUCUUGAAUCUGAGGUUAUAGUAAAGGAUAAAGACUUGGAAGCUUCUCUUCAGGACUCUUCAAAAUAUCAAGAUUCAGAUGCUGCUCUGAAUUCUUCAGACAUAAUUAAAGAAAGUGAGGGGAGUAAUUUAAGAGACAAAAAAAGUGAAAAAAUAAGUAGUAAAAGUAAAGAUAAAAGUAAGAGUGGAAAAAAAGCAAAAAAAAGCAGAUCAAAAUCUCCUUCCAAGUCGAAGAAACGUAAAAAGAAGUCAAGAUCGCGUUCUACCUCUAGACAAGUGUCAUCAAGAAGAGCACGUUCUAGAAGCAAAAAUGAUUCCAGUUCCAAGAGAAAGCACUCUACUUCACGUCACAAAUCUAGAUCCAAAUCUGUUGAUAAAAAAGAAGAAAAAGAAUCUUCAUUAAGAUCUAGACGAAGACGUUCACGGACCUCUGAUCGUCUGAAAUCUAGAUCUAAAUCUGCUGACAGAAGAGAAACUUCAAUAAGAUCAAGACGUAGACGGUCCAGAUCUUCUGAUCACAAGUCUAGAUCCAGAUCAGUUGACAAAAGAGAAUCAGCUAGGAGAAGACGAAGGUUAUCCAGGUCUUCUGAUAAUCGCAGAUCUAGAUCAAGAUCAGUUGAUAGAAGAGAGACUUUGACAAGAUCAAGGAGGAGGCGAUCCAGAUCUUCUGAUCGUCAUAAAUCUAGAUCACGAUCAGGUGACAAAAGAGAGACCUCUGUGAGAACAAGGCGAAGGCGGUCUCAGUCCUCUGAUACUCGCAAAUCUAGAUCUAGAUCUGUUGACAGAAGAGAGUCUUCAAUAAGAACACGGAGAAGGCGAUCUAGAUCUUCUGAUAAUCACAAAUCUAGGUCUAGAUCUCCUGAUGACAAGAGAGAGCCUUCAGUGAGGACAAGGCGGAGAAGAUCAAGGACCCCUGAUACUCGCAAAUCUAGAUCUAGAUCUGUUGACAGAAGGGAAAUUUCAGGGAGAGGAAGGCGAAGACGGUCAAGAUCCUCUGAUAAUCAUAAAUCAAGAUCUGUAUCAGUUGACAAAAGAGAGAGUUCAGCGAGGAUAAGGCGAAGGCGAUCCAGAUCUUCUGAUAAUCGCAGAUCAAAGUCCAAAUCUGUUGACAAAAGGGAGACUUCCGUGAGGAUGAAACGAAGGCGGUCUGUGUCCUCUGAUCGCAAAUCUAGAUCCAGAUCUAUUGAUAAAAGAGAGACUUCAGCUAGGUCAAAAAGGAGACGUUCCAGGUCUUCUGAUAAUCACAAAUCUAGAUCCAAAUCUGUUGAGAACAUAGAAACUGCAACAAAGAGAAGGCGAUCUAAGUCUACUGAUCAUAAAUCCAGAACAAAAUCAGUUGAAAAGGGGGAGCUGACCUCAAAGUCUAGACACAGACGAUCUAAGUCAUCAGAUCGGCCAAGAUCUAAAUCAAAGUCCAGAUCUAAAUCUUCUGAAAGAAGAAAAGACAAAGACUCCUUGGAUGGAUCAAGAGGAAAACGAUCUAAAUACAGAUCAAAGUCUAAGUCUCUUGAGAAAACAGAUGGAACUGACUCUGUGGAAGCAACUUUGAAUAAUCGGGAAAAAUCAGCUGAGCAGCACAAAUCUAAAUCUAGGUCUAGGUCUAAAUCUAUAGAUAAAACAGGAGAGAGAGAACGCUUGAGAAGAUCAAGAAGUAAAGGUUCCAAGUCCUCAGAAUCUAGAUCUCGUAGACGUAGAACAGUAUCACGAUCUAGAAGAAAUCGUUCACGAUCAUUAACACGGAAGAGAACAACAAGAUCUAAAUCUGAUCACCGAUCACAGUCACGCUCUCGAACUCGUUCACGAUCAUGUUCAAGACGUUGGAGGAGGACUAGAUCAAGAUCAGUAUCAAGACAGCGAUCUUUGUCAAGGAAAAGGCGUAGACGAUCUCGGAGAAAUCGGUCAAGAUCAACUGAUAGGAGAAGAAGAAGAUCUGAUUCAAGAGACAGUUACAGAAUAUCUCUCAGGUUACGGUCCCGAAGUCGAACACCUGUCCGUCUAAGAUGCUCUAGGUCUACAGGGAGAAGAAGAAGCACCAGUAAAUCACCUGAUCAUCGACGAUCUAGAUCUUCAAGCAGAUCACCGAAACGUCUAACUGACUUGGAUAAGGCACAAUUACUUGAAAUAGCCAAGGCAAAUGCAGCAGCAAUGUGUGCCAAGGCUGGUGUUCCACUCCCACCAAGUCUGAUGCCUGUUAUAACUCCAGAGAAGAAGGAAGAGAAAGUUACCCAAAAGUCAGCAAAAGAGACAAUAUUGGAAUUGACUGAGAAAUGCAAGAAGAUUGCCCAAAGCCAGGAAGAUGAUGUCAUUGUGAAUAAGCCUCAUGUUUCUGAUGAAGAAGAAGAGGAACAUCCUUUUAUCAACCAUCCCUUUAAGCUCAAUGAGCCCAAACCUAUUUUUUUCAACUUAACUACUCCUACAAUAAAACCAGCAGCUCCAAAAAAUCAGGUAACUUUGACAAAAGAGUUCCCAGUUUCUUCAGGAUCUCAGCACAGGAAAAAAGAAGCAGAUAGUGCAUAUGGAGAAUGGGUUCCAGUUGAAAAGAACAAGGAUGAGAACAAAGAUGAUGUGUUUCCCAAUCCAGCCAAUCUGGAGCCUGUGGACAUCUCAUCAGCAUUGAAUGAACGGACUAUAGCCCAAAAGAGGCUUACAGAAAAUACGUUUGAUCUCGAGGCGAUGUGCUUGUUAAAUCGUGCACAAGAACGGAUUGAUGCCUGGGCUGAGCUGAAUUCUAUACCAGGCCAUUUUACGGGGAGUACUGGAGCACAGGUCUUGUCUUCUGAACAGUUAUCCAACAGCGGUCCCCAAGCAUGGGUUAAAAAGAAAUCAGUGCCUGCCAAUAUUACUGUCUCCUGAGAGCAAUGCAAGAUCCUCCAACAAAGUAAGCAUUUGUGUAAUAACAAACAAGACAGUCGGGGAGGGGGCACUUCAGAGCAGGAUUGGUGUAUAGCUUUCUCAGUUUUGCAAAGGAUGGAACCCUGCUAAUUUUGGACCUUCUCAGGAGGCUUAGACCAAGUUCUGAUGACACUGCUGUAUUAAAUCAGUAUAAUAAUAAAAAUGUUUUGGGAACAACACCUUUAUUUUACCUGCAAGUUAAAAGCAGACAAGAAUAUAAUUAGUGAUUUCAUCUAAGGGCUAAUGUGUUCUCUCAUGGAAGUAAUAAUCUGAUUUCUGUGGAUAAUAUCUGUAGAGCAAGGCUUCUUAUCUCUACAGAAACAUUUUUAGAAGCAUAUGAUCUACCUUUUAGCAUUCUGGAAGCAUUUUUCAGUGGUAUAUUCCUGACAUUGUGGACACUGUGGCUACAGAAUACAGAUUAGAAAAAAUAGAUUGUCUGCUCUGAAUUCAGAUACCAGAAUAUAUUUGGAUAUAUGGUAUACUGGAUAUAUUUCCAGUAAUUGGAAAGUAGAAUUUCAGUUCCAUGUGCAGUUUCUUUUUCUAUACUAUUACGAUCCUUUAUCAUCUUAGUAGCCUUGAUAUUCUAAUAUUAGCAUUCAAAUAUGACAAAAUACUAUGCACAUACAUGCACAAACACACAUGGCAGUUUCAGCAAUGAAUGAGUUUUUGCGAUACCCAAUGCAGUGUCCAUCCACAUCACUUUUUUCUCAUUCCACUGUUGCUCCUUUUCUAGUGUAUUGCUGUUACCCCUUAGCUAUGAGUAUAGGUAUAAAGGCACUCUGGCAACUUUACUCUCCCCCUCCCCAAAUCAUAUUAUGUUUGUGUCCAUUUAGAAGUAAAUGUCAUGAAGAUCACAGUCUUUUACAUAUGGCCAUAAGAAAUGUUGCUUACUGUAUGUGAGAAAUAUUGGUUUGGUACAAUAUUCUUUAAAAGACACUGGUUUAAGUAAAGUUUAACUUGUAAAGUAAUUACAAACUUUGCAGAUAUAGUCAGUGGCAGACGUGGUCUGUUCACUGUAGUCCGUUCUGUGUUUUUCUUAUAGGUAUUCACCCUUGCACCCAGGAUUGGGUCUUGGCGUUCCUAUUUGUGUGGGCUUUUCUUGGCAUUGAAUGAAUCUGGUAAAUUGUAAUUUCUUACCUCUUUGGUUCCUAACUAUCCCUGCUCCAGUCUGAAUAUCAUUUUUUUUUCAUUACAGUGGUGUUGAAUACUUCCGCUAUCAGAAGUUCUUACUGCUAGAUGUUCUUUAUUAGAUUUCAUUUGCUUGUCCUGUAAACUGAUUGUAGACCAGUCAGCCUUUUUCUCCAAUAGGAGGAAGAAAUGGCUUGCUCUAGUUAGUGACAAGAGAUUUACUACUUCACUAAGUCUUGUUUAACAUAGGGAGAUUUAAAGAAUCACAAAUGAGAAGUUGCCAUAGAAGCAAUACAGUAUCAGAACAAAACAUAUACAAUUCAAAUUUUAAAACAUUUUACAUGUUUUCCAUGUCAUUUAUUGACUUUAUAGUUGUCUAGUUCAGUGAUAACCAAUCUUGACUUACUGUACCUUUGUACUGGGCAAUAUAAUAAUAGUGUUUUUGAUUUAGUUCCUCCCAUGCUGUGAAAUAACAGUCCAAAUGUAAUGUUAUUUCAAGUACUUGUUCAGCUUUCAGAUAGUGCUUGUUUAGCAUUGCAAAUAAAAUAUGAGUAUUACAUUUAUAUACUUAACAGCUGUUUUAUUUUAGCCAUAUCAGUUUUUACAGGUCAAAUGCUUUCCAGAGCAAGAUAAUAUGUGCAAGCUGGAAUAGAUAGGUCUUGUUUAACACAUCUGGAGGGUGUGAGGCAGGAAAUAACUCACAUAAUUUUCUCAUGUAGAUGAAUCAGAGUGCUUUGUAUUUGACAUGAACUACUGUUAGAUGUAAUUUGUUGGGUUAUAAAGGCUUGCGUAGAUAAUCCAUAACUCGUGAAUUAGAAUGGCUGUGGUGUGUUUGACAAGGAGUUGUAAAGUGCAAUCCAAGAACAACAAAAUAAAUGUUGAGAUUCCUUUAGAAUCCAUAAUGCUUCAGUACAUAAUUAAGCAUUGAUUCACUGGUAUUUAUUUAUAGAUAAAAUCUAGAAUUUUAGGCUGAGACUGUUCUUUUUCCACUGGACUUUGGCACAUGUACCUUCCUUUGGGUUCUGUCAUUAAAUUCUACAACUGGAUAAGUGAUAUAAUCAACUUCAUGAGCAAUUAGAAAAUGGAAUGACUUCUUUCAAAAAAUGUUGUUGUACUGUACUUCAGUUUUAAAAAAAUCACCAAGUUAUAUCUCACCUUUCUAGAAGAAAAAAAAAAGACUGCUCAGGAUUGUGCUCACCUGCUUUAAAAAAAAAAGGCUUAUUUUUAUUUUGCCCCAAAUAAUUAGGAAAGUGUCUGAUAAAUUCUUGCAACCUCAAAGACCUUACCAAAUAGUAGGUCUCUGUCAUUUUUGUGAACUGGAUACACAUUGGUGAUGAAACAGACAUUGUUGAUGAACAUUCUAUCAUUGCAAAGCAGGUACAAAAGAGGAGUCGGAGCCCUGGGUGACAUUGACUGGGGUUUGUAUCAUUCUCUGCAUGGUUGCCCUUUUCUAAUGAGAGGUUCGUGGAAAGGAGAGGGGAGGAUGAAAAUGGAAGUAAGUAAAAGCCAUUCUAGAGGUGUAUCAACUCGAAGCAGUUGGUAACUGGCAUCAGCUAACAUGUUUCUGUGUACACAAACUGCAUGGCUUGCACCAGUCAAACUGUUUCUGUGAGAGGUAAUGUCUGCCUCAUUUAGCCUUUUCUUACGUAAGAACACCUUUUCAAAAGUAAUGUUCAUUUGCAUGGAAUACAGACAUCUAUUUAAUUAUAUUAUAUGGACUGAUUUAAUACUUGAGGAACUCAUGUUACAUACGUUAUUGGAAUCACUACAGUUUGCUUUCUUAACAGGGAUACAGAGAUUAGUAUUGCGGUGUGCGUGCGUAUGUCAUAAUUUUCUGUGCUGAAGAACAAAUCCAUUUGCUGUACAUUCAAUUUGCUUUCAGUGCCUAUUUUCAGUCACUGAAAUGUAGACUGAAACCAAAGGGGUUUCUAUGUAUAGUUUGGUACCUUAAGAUUUAAAAUUUAUGUGAUAACAUUACACACACAGACACAUAAAUAUAUGUAUGUACUUAUAUGUUUGUGUGUGUAUAUACACAUACAUCUACACAAGCAGUUUGUUGUGUUGGGUCCUUGGGUGGGGCAGAAAGAGAGAUGAUAGUUCACAGAAUAGCCUGUGAACUUUCACCCCUCUAUAUGGAAACUUGUUUCAGGGCCAAAUCUGCCUUGUAGCUGCCUUCUUGCCACGGUCAAUGCCAGCCCUACUAUUCACAACACUGCGGCCAUCGAGGCCUAGGAUCAGUUUCUCAGAGC